rnacentral:rRNA from 1 species
GAUGAACGCUGGCGGCGUGCCUAAUACAUGCAAGUCGAGCGAACAGACGAGGAGCUUGCUCCUCUGACGUUAGCGGCGGACGGGUGAGUAACACGUGGAUAACCUACCUAUAAGACUGGGAUAACUUCGGGAAACCGGAGCUAAUACCGGAUAAUAUAUUGAACCGCAUGGUUCAAUAGUGAAAGACGGUUUUGCUGUCACUUAUAGAUUGAUCCGCGCCGCAUUAGCUAGUUGGUAAGGUAACGGCUUACCAAGGCAACGAUGCGUAGCCGACCUGAGAGGGUGAUCGGCCACACUGGAACUGAGACACGGUCCAGACUCCUACGGGAGGCAGCAGUAGGGAAUCUUCGGCAAUGGGCGGAAGCCUGACGGAGCAACGCCGCGUGAGUGAUGAAGGUCUUCGGAUCGUAAAACUCUGUUAGUAGGGAAGAACAAAUGUGUAAGUAACUAUGCACGUCUUGACGGUACCUAAUCAGAAAGCCACGGCUAACUACGUG